UUUCUGGUUGAUCCUGCCGGACCCGACUGCUAUCGAAGUGGGGCUAAGCCAUGCUAGUUGAACGCUCACCAACCAUGUGAAGGGCGUAGCACACGGCUCAGUAACACGUUGUCAACCUACCCUGAAGACGCGGAUAACCCCGGGAAACUGGGAUUAAGCCGCGAUAGAUCAGGACACCUGGAACGGGUCAUGAUCCAAAAGAACGGCGAGCAUGUUCGCCUUUUCGCUUCAGGAUGGGACUGCGACCGAUCAGGUUGUUGGUAGAGUAAAAGCCCACCAAGCCUAUAACCGGUACGGGCUUUGAGAGAAGGAGCCCGGAGAUGGACACUGAGACAAGGGUCCAGGUCCUACGGGGCGCAGCAGGCGCGAAACCUUCGCAAUGCACGAAAGUGCGACGAGGCUACUUCGAGUGCCACCCGCUGAGGGUGGCUUUUGCCAAGUCUAAAACGCUUGGAGAAUAAGGGGAGGGCAAGCCUGGUGUCAGCCGCCGCGGUAAUACCAGCUCCCCGAGUGGUCGGGAUGAUUAUUGGGCCUAAAGCAUCCGUAGCCUGUUCCGUAGGUC
rnacentral:rRNA from 1 species